UGUUAUUGAGUGACGCUUCGCAUUCAUUCUCACUCUCCUCUCUUUCGUUCUCUUCUCGUUCUUCUCUCGUAAACCAACGACGACGACAGAGAAAUCUGAUUCUCCGAGCGGCCACCACCACCGAACACUUCACCUUUGAUUCAUUCUCACGCUCACUUCGUCAAUUCACAAGAUAAUCGUUCAAAAUCUUCCACUCGAGCCCCAAAUUGAAAACCCUAGGAACUAAGGUGAUGAUGAGACCGAGCUUAAGACCAAGGGGGAAAGAAAUAGGAGAUCUCAAUCUUCACAGUAGUAUCAAGAAAAUGCAGAGAAGACGAAUAAUCGAAGGAUUCGAAAAACUUACCUAAAGGGCGCAAAGUAUGAAGACAGGCUAUGAUUUCAGGUAAUAGUGCGAUCCUCCACUUCUUGUAAUGCUCCGUCUUCUUCUUCUGUUCUUAUGGUGAGUGUUGAGUUGGUUUCAGAAUUGAUGAAUCCUUGUUGACGAAGGUUGAAGGAUAAUUCAGUUACAAGUGAGUCUCCGUUCUUUUUCUGUUAACUGAAUUUCUGAGCUUUCUUUUGGAUACACAUUCUGCAGAAGAUUGAAGGAAUUUUGAGGAGAUUGAAGGUUGAAUUGCAGAGAGGGUUGAAGUGAUAAAGAUGAUGAUUAUGAAGUAAUGAAGAUGAAGCUGGGAGAAUAAGAUGAAGAUGAGAGAGAUAGGAUGAAGAUGUGAAGAAUUGAAGAGAUGAAGAAUUGAAAACUGAAGGGGAUCGAAGGGAAGGUUGAGAGGUGAAGAGAUCUGUUUAUAUAGAGGUUUGAAGGAGGUUCUGUGAAGGUUUCAUGAAGAAGGAAUGGAGGGAAAUUGACUUGAAGAAUUGAAGAAUUGAAGAAAGAAGUUUAGGAUUAGGAACAAAGGACUCAAGCAAAUCAUUAUUUUUGUUGUAACUUUUCUUAUAACUUAUGUAACCUUUGGUAUGAGACGAAUUGGAUUUUUGUAAUGAAUUUGAAUUUUGAAAUAUAAUGUGAUGUGCUUUGACUUUGAA